CUACGGGGGGCUCCAGUCGAGAAUCUUCGGCAAUGGGCGCAAGCCUGACCGAGCGACGCCGCGUGCGGGACGAAGGCCUUCGGGUUGUAAACCGCUGUCAGUAGGGCGGAAAUGCAUAGGGGUUCUCUCCGAUGUUUGACCUAACUACAGAGGAAGUACGGGCUAAGUUCGUGCCAGCAGCCGCGGUAAGACGAACCGUACGAACGUUAUUCGGAAUCACUGGGCUUAAAGAGUGCGUAGGCGGCUUGGCAAGUUGGGUGUGAAAUCCCUCGGCUCAACCGAGGAACUGCGCUCAAAACUGCCUGGCUUGAGGGAGAUAGGGGUGAGCGGAACUGAUGGUGGAGCGGUGAAAUGCGUUGAUAUCAUCAGGAACACCGGUGGCGAAGGCGGCUCACUGGAUCUCUUCUGACGCUGAGGCACGAAAGCUAGGGUAGCGAACGGGAUUAGAUACCCGAGUAGUC
rnacentral:rRNA from 1 species